CCUUCCUUCCUUCCUUCCUUCCUUCCUUCCUUCCUUCCUUCCUUCCUUCCUUCCUUCCUUCCUUCCUUUCUGUUGCUGGUGAGUGUCUUGAUAUGGAAUCAAUCUCAGAACACCAUGUGCUUGUGAGAUCUGCAGCAACCUUCAGCUGGUGCGUUACUCUGGUCACAGGCUGGGGACAAAGUUGUUUUUUCUUUCUACCUUUGCUUGGGUAGAAAGGCAUGCUGCCGUGUGCCUUGGGCAGCACCUGUCUGGGCAGGACACCUCGGGGCAUCGCUGCCAUCUGAAGGGUAGCCUCACUGCUUGGCAUGCCCCACACCUCCAGGUGGGACCGUCUGUAGUGUUUCACAAGGGAGUAUCUUCCAUUUCUCUGUAGUUGCACCACAGUUGGUGAGUGCAAUGGAAGCUGUUGGCUUUAGUGCUGUAGUCUUCUGAGGUUUGGAAUGUGCUUUUCCCAGGCUUGCCUUUUGUUCAGGUGUUUGUAUAGGCAGAGGAUCUCAGCCAGGCCAUGUUAGGAGCACGUGUCACCUCGUCAGCCUGUGUCACCUCGUCAGCCUGUGUCACCUCGAGACUCACGUACCACCUCGAGACCCAUUCCCAGGUCUGUGCGCCUCACCCCAUCAGCAGCAGCAGGCCCAGCUUUCACAUUUCUGGGCACACUGUGAAGGCUUACUGAUCUGUCAGUGCUUCAGGAAACCAUGGGGCUAGGAAGCGUAGAUGAAGGAUUUUGUGAAAUCUGGUAUUUAAACCUCCCACUCAAAUGAUGAUGAGGAGAGCUGGCAACAUAGCAUUGGCUUAUCAGGAGCUGUGUGGGCAGGUCAACUGAAGAAAAAUGUUGUGUGAACGGCACCAGAAGUGAAGAAGAGAAGCCAGAGUCUUGUCAGGUACAGGGUUAUAACCACGUAAAUACGGUUCUUUUUCUUAAAAACAUCAUUUUAUUUGAACAAUAAAGGAUGGGCACCCUUGCCAGGAGCUGCUGGAGUGCAGCCUGACCAGACAAGCAGGUCUCUAAGUCACAGAAUACUCACUAAGCCAUGUUCUUCAACACAACAGGGUCUAGAUAUUUAGGAUUAUUCUUCUAGCACAAGUAAUUCUGAACUAAGCACUGCAAAUUAAUGUAAUUGUCAGCUCUACUAUCAUGAAUGCAAAUAAUCCACUUGUGGAUACGUCUUCUGACAAUGCUGUGUUCAAAAAAAAAAAAAAAAAAAGCUGCUUUCAAGCUUCAUCUGUCAAUAGAAGUCCUACUAAGUGAGUCGUGCAGGUUGCUGAGAGGCCACGUGUAACUUACUGUGUCCAAUGAAAGUCUCUAAUUGGUUAAAAGUAAUUAAAAAUAGGGACUCUAUGUGAUCACAAAGCCAAAAUCCUAGUUUAAUUAUGGAAAUGGAAGAAUAUCAGCUUAAUUAGACUAGUUACAGCAAAAAGAAGUGUGGAAAGGAUGCACUCUGUGAGUGGUUACGCUGUGAGCUCCCAAAAGCGUUUUGAGGGCGGAGUUGCUGAGCUGGUGGAGAAAAUAGCAAAUUAAAUCAUCUGCAGGUGCUCGUGGUCUGUUCUCACCUCUGCACUGACUUCUGAUUGAGGAAAUUUGACUCAGAAAUGGCCAGGACUGAGGGGCAGGUUAUAAUUUCGUGUAAGCCUUGUCUGUGUGGUUCUCUGUGUGCUGAAAGGCACUGUCAGAGGGUGGGGAAGUGGCUUCGGGAUGGACAAACGCAGAGGAUUGAUGGAGGGAAGGAUGGGCUCCGCUCCUGAUGAUGAUGUGGUCCAUCUGAUAGAUGGAAAAAUGGAUCUUGGAAGAUAUCAGAGCACUUAGGGCAGUCCUGGGGCUGUCAUCUUCGGGUAUGGAAAGCUGAGAUACUUGAGAAACUAUAUUUGGUUGCCUGGGAAGAAAAGAAUAUGUAGGAUAUCAAGGUGCAGCUUUGCAAAAGUCUUAAUGCAUGCUGAGAAAACGAUAGAAAGGGUCAAUAGUGAGCUGUCAUUGCUUUGCAGUGGAGGCUGGUCUCCAGCUGAAGAGGAACUGGAGUGGUGGCACGGGAAGUGGACGAGGUUUUGGGAGGAGCGAUAGAAGUAGCGCUGGGAGAAGGCUGAGGCAUCUGAGGCUGAGCUGAGGUGCACCUGGAGCAUAUGGCCAUUUUUGCUGGAGGGCAUGGGGUGAUUUUCAGUGAGUGUGGGGCAUGGGGAGGCUGGGAACAGAGCUGUGGGUGCUGGAAGAGCAAGCAGAUGUUGGACUGGAGAUUUGAAUGAGAAAUAGGCGUGUGGUCAAAACGAGAAAGUCUGUGUGCCAGUGUGGAAACAUGACAUAAAAAUAGUCGGAGUAGACUGCUCAGUGGUUUGAAAAGACUUUGACAUAGCUAGCCUGACUGAAGCAUAGUGGGGGAGAAGAUGAUGAAAAUACUGCAAUGGCUGCCAUCAAACCAUACAGGAUACACGGGUCAUAAAGGUGUGAAGGAGCACUCGAUUUAAAAGUUGCCAUAAAACCCAAGAGGAAAUUGGAAUAGUGGUGCUCACACAGCCAAACCUGUGUCGGAGAUAAAUUCCACAUUGUAAUGAAACAGAGGUAUUGAGACACCUUCUAUUCCAGACAAGGAAAAGGUUAUGGAUUUCAUGGGACGUGAGGGAAAACCAAGCUCGUGCGUCUCCAUAAACCUGUUAGAAAAGGUAAAUUCAAUUACGUCGGUGCUAUCUGGCCAGAUGGUUUUGGAAGGAGCUGGCUAACAUUUCGAUGAACAAACAUCUUGAUUUACUUAAAGAAUCAUUUAUUUUAACAGCCUGUUGUAGAGCUAGCCUUGAUUUAGGACUAAAACGUAAGAACUGGUUCAAGAUAUAAUUACAGCUGAGUCAUUAAAUAGCAGUGACCACAGUACAAUUACAGGUUCAGCAUCCUCAGGGGUGGAAGACACUUUACUAAAAAUGAGUCUUGUGUUAUAAAACAUUGCAGGGGAGAACAUCAGAAAAGCAAAAUUGUGAGCCUGGUCAAGGUAGCUCCACAGGCACCUGGAAAUGUUCCAGACACCCAGGUUAGGAAGAGCUCUGUCACAAAGGAGCUCCAGAGCCGAAGUGUAGGACAGACCAGUGAAAUAUUUAUAAAAGGAGGGACUUCUGGAGCAAGACUCUUUGACAAGACAGAGGUCCAGCUCUCCCAAAGAGUGCCGGAAGAGCCAUGCUGUGCUGCAGGUCACAAAUUCAAUUUGUGGAAAUUAAGCAGUUCAGCAGGGAUGUUUUGGAGAGCCGGAGACCCUCGGGAACAAACGAUAUUUUAAGCAUACAAGCGAGAAGGCUCUUCAGAGGAUCUAAACGUGUAGGAUUAAAGACACAGUCAUAUUUUCUGCACUAAUCUGUGUUACGUAGAAUGCUCCAAAAAUAAUGUUUCCUACUAAUUUCCACAGAAGUUGCAGCAGAUGCAAGGAGCACAAUGACACUAUCUGACAGAGCAAAUUCUCAGCUACAGAACACGCUCUCAGGUGUGCAUUUUUGUCAGUGAUGUGCAAGAGCCUGCAUGCCAUGCUCGUAAAAAUCUGCACCAGCCAAGGUGACCACUGUCACUGUCUCCACCGCAGAAACACACCAUCCACCACCUUACUGUGCUCACACCCACUGUUCAGUCUCCAGAAGAUGUCAGCAAUUGCUGAUGAAUGUCAGCGGGUGCCAUUUUUUCCUCAUGGAGGAAUUUAAUUCUACACCUUUGCGCCAUACGCACUUCCAUGUCAGAUGCCACACUGUCAUACCACCCUUCUACUGCCAUCUGCCACGGAGCAACAAAAUGUAACGGGAUAUUGGCGGAAGGUCCAACCUUUGCUCUCAUCCCACCAUCAUCUACUUCUGUCAUCAUGGGCUGACAUAACAAAGCAGGAGGCAUUACUUUUGGAGCACGGGGUGCAUUCAAGAGACACCUUUCUCCUUUCGGCAAGGAUAAGGAACGUAUCUGCAGCUUGUACCUUUGAGGCAAAUACAACACAACCAGGUAGCAAAUCCAAAUGGAGGAGCAAUGCGCAUCCACACAGGAGUUUUUAAAGAGCUGGGGACAGAACACUAACGUUAGUAGUAAUUAUAGGGUGUCCUAAAAAAUAGCUUGGUAUCCUCCAUGAUUAGAAUACAUCCUAAUGGUGUAUUAUUAAUAAUAAUAACAAUCAUAACAAUAAUGUUAUUGUUAUUAUUAAUAAUGACAUUAUUGAACAGGGCACUGGGAAUUGUAGACCAGCAAUUCCUUGUUUGAGGAGUAGCUAAAGUAGUAUCACAUGUCAGUAUGUGCUAGGGUGAAAGCAACGUACCUUCUGCAAGGAAAGAUCACGUUUUCCAGGUAAUCUGCCCAAACCUUUUAACCUGCUGGCAAAUGGCAGGGUGCAGAGAAUCGGGGGAUUUUUGUUUGGAUAAAUAUGGAUCAAUAUCAUGGAUGCCUUCUUUUGCUACCGCUGAUAUUGAUCAGCUCAGGGUAGAAGGAAGCUUAGUCUGAGCUGGAGAUGGAAACUUUCCUGGGCUCGGAGGCGGGGGUAUUUCUUGAGUAGAUCUGCAGACUUUGAGCAAGUGAGUUUCCUCUGGGAGGCAGUGAUUUGUCAGAACCAGAGUUGCAGGGUGGAAAAGGGUUGAUUUUCUCUGGACUUAUCUGGUGAGCACAUCUAGGUCAAAGUCUGGUUGGCCAAAGAGGAGACACAAGCGCAGAAUACUUGGCAGCACGACAUCUAGAUUCCUUCUGUGAUGUGGCAGCCCCAGUUCAAAUCCUGACCCUGAGCUAAGGCUGCCACAUCCCAUAGUAUGCCUCAGCAACCAAUGAGUCCGGAUGUAUUCAGCUUUUUUUGUUUGUUUGUUUGUUUGUUUAACCAAACCAAGCAAAAAACCUGAAAGUUGUUGGUUUGGUAGUGGGCAGAAAGGGAAGGUAUGGGGAGAGAAGCCUAUCCAGUUCUUUCCAGGUCUCAUCUAGCUCUGUAUUUGAGGCUGCCCACACACAUACGUGUGCAUGUGUGUGCAGACCUCCCCAAGGACCCAGGAGGUGAGCUGCUGUGAGCAGGAGCAACCCUUUGCUGCUGUAGUUCAGUUUAAGGCUUCUUAAAUGUCUGAACGUCCCAACAUUCCCCUGGCUCAGAGGAGCACAAGCUGGGUGUGGGCAGUCUGCAGCUGCAGGGAAUGUCUGCUAGGACAGGCAAUAGAUUGAGAGAAAAAAUGUCAGUGAUGCUCUGGAAAUAUAUCUAGGCUUUAGAGGACUUGCUCAUUCAAGAGGAAGAGUGUCUUCCCUUCAGCAUCUGAUUUUCGGUAGAAAAACCAAAUGAACUGAAGGUGCCAUAGAAAUUAACUGUGUAUUACAGAGUUAGGUGCUAAUGUCUUAGAGGCUGCUGUGUUUGAACUCACAUGUAAUACCGUUCAUUACGUUCCCAAGUUGUUCCUCUGCUGUUUUCCCCUGGUAAGCUGGCCGUUGUCACUGACACAACCUUUGUCCCCCUCCCUGAGAAAUACCAAUUUCAUUAUGUUACUCAACUCUAGUGAAAUUGUAUCAGCUGACUUUGAAGUACACAGUAUAAAAACGUCGUGGUAUGCUUGCAUGGUAGUUAUUUGAUGUAAGAAAACGCAAAAUCUCUUGUGCUCUCUCUUUAGGAAUUUGGGCUCUGAGUUUCACUGGGGAGUGCUGUGUGUACCCAACUGCAUGGGGUCAGGCCCACCUUUUUUAAAAACGUUUCACAUCUGAGGUUAGAAAUGCUUCAGAAGACAAAUCAGCAGAAAAGCUGUCUGUUCUUGGCUCAGAUGACAGUAGUGACUUGUACUAAGGACUGUCCUUCCACUUAGAAAACUGCACAGCUGCUUCUGCUUUAACUUCUGUCAGAGGUCUGGCAUCUUGGCACAGGUGUUUUUUUCUAAAUGUACUGAGUACAGUUGCCUUUAAAUUCUCUUAGGUACAUACAGUUAUCAUUGGUGUUCUGUAAACUAGCUCUCUACUAGCAUUCACAUUGGACUAGGCCUAAUAUUCUGAAUGUCAAAAAAUGAAAAUGAAUUUAUACCCUUUUAUGCAGUUCUGCCCAGGGUAGUGGUGGGUUGGUUUGUCUGUAGAACUACCAGCAGUGCUAUGUCGGUCUUCCCUGCUUUACCUGCGGUGAUUCUCGGUGGGAGAGCCCAGAAGUGUGGGCUGGAAGCCCACUCUACUUUCAGUUGAAAGUUACGAACUGAAAGAUACAGGCUCAAAUCUAUUUUUCCAUCCGUUGUUGACACCGAGGUAUUAUAGUGAUGAAGUCCUUGGAAACACUUGGACAAACUCGGCUGUAACACUGAGAUAAUGCAUCUUUUCCAUUCUUUUCUUUUGCCGUCGAUCGAGUAUCUGAGCUUUUUUUGUCACGUAAAAUGUUUAACUUUGAGUAAAAAUUACUCCACUAUCUAUCAGAUACUAUCCCUUCUCAUCCCAUAAAUCCAUUUAGGCUUGAUUAUUUGUAGUCUUCCAGGAAGGGCCGACUGUGUGCAUUCCCAAAGCCAACACCUGCCCCAGUGAGGGAAGGAAACCUUUCUGUAAAGGCAGCGCUGCCCAGGCACCCAUGGCUCUCUGCUCCGGGUGCUCUGAGGCCCCAGCAGGGCAGGGCUGUGGGACAGGCUGUGCCACAGCAGGGUGGGAUGACGGCCCCGUCCCACAGCUGUGCCCCAUGGGGGCAGAAAGCUCGCAGCUCUGGGUGCGGUGCGGGGUGGCCGCUGGCAGGCUCUGCACGGGGCACAGGCAGCCUGGGGUGCUGAGGUGCUACGCACCAGCCUGCACUGCAGGUCACCCCGCACGCUCCCUGCCUUUGGGUCCCAGGAAAGGGAAAUUGGAACUUUUUCGGGUCAAGAAAACUCAGUGAGGGUGACACCAGGCCCCUGGAGAGCGGUGUUUUUCCCGUGGUAGUGCCAGCUGCUCACACUUGCUUCUUUUCAGCCAUUGCCCAUGGUUUGGUUUUGCUGGGUUCUUAGCCAUCUUGACCUCAUGUUUGCAAAUAUUAUUGGUAAUAUAAUGCUAUAUGUACAAAUGUCUGUGUGGCUCGUGUAUGUUUCUGUGGUUCAAAUCAGCCACAGAAUUCUGGAAUUUCAUUGUACUUUGGUUAAAUGUUGGACUUUUAACUCUUCUACUGUAUGGCUUCUUGAUUUCUCUUGUCCAGUGUGGACCAACUCUCUAUUUUUGGAAAUAAAUAAGCAUGUAAAUAAAAUGAAUGGGUUUAUGCCACUUACAAGAAAAUGCUUCAUUUCAAAUAUUCACUCAGACUUGUAUAUUUUAUGGCAUCUCACGGCGCGGCCACCCAUCGCAGCUGAGAGGCUGAGGCAAAGCAGCCUUCGCGGUGAGAUACCAUACGAUGUGAAGUCAUUGCCAGGUGCUGUCGGCCAGACAGAUGCUGUAGGGCUGCGGGGUGAACGGCAGUCUUGUGGAGGAGGGGGGCCUGGAAAGCAGUGCGUAGUUUGAGAGGAGCAAAGAAAAGAGACCUGGCUUUGUGGUGCACAUGUGGCUUCUGGUUUGAGGUGUCCCUGUCCCUGUUGCCGGCAGUGCAGGGUGCCCGGGGCCAGCCCUCGGCCUCUGCCCGCAGCGCAGUCCCGCAGCAUGUCCCGCUGGCGCGUGGAGAGCGGGAGCACUAUGACUUUUUUUUCUUCUCCAUAUAAACCAAUAUUUACCAGUAAUCCUGUGUUUCUGUUUUUGUUUUUUGGCAGACUUUUACCAGUAAAUAUCGGUUUAUUCCUGAAACCAGAAGCCCUAUACAUACCUUUGUUUAUAAGGUCAGUUGUCAUUUCGUCUCUCUCGUUCCCCACUCCCCCCAGUACAAACUGGCAGGUGAUUGAAAGGUACCGAGCUUUCUUUCUAGUUUUCCUACUCUGCAACUCUGGAAAUGGAGCCCGCAGGACCUAGAGCCUUCUCUUGGUAACGUAGACUGAAGUUUACAAAUUAUUAUUUAACACUUUAAAGUCUGCUUUUAAGGACAGCGCUGUUCCCAUCUGCCUGCUACCAGGCUGGUAGAAAUUCCUGCAGAUGCUUGGCGUGGUUCACCUUCCCAGAGCCUGUGGGCAGGUGUCUCACAAAGCAUCUUCAGGUUUGGGCUUGGAAAGUAAUUCCUCCAAAAGUACAUGCUACAAAAUGGCAUUUCAGUUUUACAGGGAACAGGAUGGGGGGAGCGGAGGGUGGGAACUGAGUAUGGAUAUGUCUUUUUCUGAUUUUAUUUUUUUUCUUUUCAUUUUUCUCUAUAUUCUGCUAGAAAGCAAGGCUUCUGUUUUGGAAAAGAAGCGUGAAGUGGGGAGGAGGGAGAGAAUUUGAGCAUUGCCCAUCCUAAAAUAGUUUUAAACACUUUCUCCAAGGCUGAUGGAAAAGGCAGGUGAAAGGUCUGAUCUGAUCCUUAAAAGGACAUUGCUAGGUGUCUGGGACUCCAAAAGCAGCUGGCGCUUCUUAAUGACUGCAAUUGAUUUAGGCAAUUUGCAAAAUUUGGUCUAUACUAAGACGUAUCAGCUUGGGAGAAUUGAAGACUCCCUUUUUUUUUUAAGAGUUUGCAACCCAAAUGCUGCAGUACUGUGCUAAUACUUGUGAAACAGCAAAGCUGGCAAGGAAUAGAAAAUGAGUUGACUGCAUGGUCCCAGUCAAAUUUUUUUUUUCUUUUGAACAAACAAAAUGAAAAAAUCAUAAUCAAAACCACCCUGAGCCAAAAAGUGCAACCUCCAUAGAGCAAGCAGAACAGCAUCUCAAGUGAUUUGAUUUGGUCUUGUAAUGCACGGUUGGCAAGAGCAUUUCUGGUAUAGCUGCAACCUAACCAUGUCCCUUUAAGACCAACUUCAUCUCGAUGAAACAAAAGACAAGGUUUUGCACUGUAGAGCAGAUCAAAGCUCCUGCAGCCUUAGUUGGAGUCCAUAAUGACGGCAGUCUUCCAGCUGUACACUCUGAGCUGAAAACUACCUUUCCUCCCCUUUUGCAGCCUGUGUGGUUCUGAUUGCUGGCAGUUCUCUAAUACAGCUUUAAUCUGAGCAGUUGAGGCUGGUCCCACCUUACCUUCAGACGUCUUGCGGAGGACUCCUGUUACCCGUUUGGUACCCAAAAGCUACACCCCACCAUGAGAAGUCACUUAUUUUUUAAAAGGCAGUGAUAGAUUACCGUCUCUAGUUCUAAUGGAAAAAUUAUACUGCAAUGCAACUUUAUAAUAAAUUGUUCAUAUAUUCAUAAUUCCGUGGCAAUCCCAAAUUGGAGGAUGGAUCUGUUAAAGUGCACUGGUGUACCAAGCCUCGGAACCACUGUUUUCUUCAGUUCCUAGUAUGCUUUCCAGACACUGUGGAUAUGUGUGUGUGUACUGUUACGCUUCUAACUAAAUGCCAACAACAGAGUUCGUUGCUUUUAUACAUCCCAAAGAAAAGCUCUCCACCAUUUACUUUCUGUUUUCUGAUGAAAAGAUGCAUGUUUUUGAACAGUGUCAUUACAAGUUCCGCCACCCCACUUUCACAUCAGCUUAUGCCAGUGCCAGGAUGGGAGGAUUUGCCUGCCCAGUGACUUCCCCAGUACACCACAGCCAGCAGUGGCAUCGGCAGGGAGCAGUUCGAAUGCGUGUCCUUUGGGCUUUACGUAAAGCAAACUCAGAACAAGAAAAAUCAAGACGUUAAAUUCGCUAGAAAACAAAUUCCUCGUUGUACAGUAGUAUGGAAGUCAACCUGCCAUUCAUAAUAGAGUCUUAUUUUUUUGAAUGAUCUAUUUAAAAGAACAGCAAGCAUUGUAUUUGCUAGUAAAGCUGAACUGUUUACAUGGAAUUACUGAAUAAAUUAUUUGAUCUAAAA